UCCGAAUGACUUGGGCUUUACUUGCGCAGACUAGGUGGGAGACGUUGAAAUUGAUCUUGCGGGAUCGUGGAGUCAUCAGUGAGAUACCACUCUGGUAAAGCUAGAUAUCUAACUUUAUUCCGUAAACCGGUUAACUUGCCAUCUUCAGGGGGCAGUUUGACUGGGGCGGUCGCCUCCUAAAAGGUAACGGAAGCGUACAAAGGUUUCCUCAAAUCGGUCAGACAUCGAUCAUUGCGUGCAAAGGCAUAAGGAAGCUUGACUGUGAAACUUACAAGUCCAACAGAGACCAAAGUCGGUCUUAAUGAUCUGGCGAUAUUGAGUGGAAAAGUCGUCACUCAACGGAUAAAAGUUACUCUAGGGAAAAAAGGCUGAAA
rnacentral:rRNA from 1 species